rnacentral:misc_RNA from 1 species
GAGUUUCUUGGCGUCAUCGAGUUCAGGAGACUUGAAGAGGGGCUUUUGGAGGUGGGUUCCAGGAGAGGCUGGAAGUUUGGUUUCCUGGGAAAGUUUGGAUAGUUUUUUCCUGGGAAAGUGAUGAGAUUUUUCAGAUGGAGAUGGGGAUACUGCGGGAAUUAGUGGAGACUUUUUCAUGUUUGAUGCUGUUGGGAUUGCUGAACGUAAUGAAAGUGGAACCUUUCCCAUUUCUGCUUUUCCUCCUUCUCCUUCUUUUUUCUUCAGGGUUUUGGCUUCUGAUUGCUCAAUUAGGGUUUUACAGCGCUGUUGUGGACGCAGGCUUGCAAC